UACGAAGGGGGCUAGCGUUGCUCGGAAUGACUGGGCGUAAAGGGCGCGUAGGCGGUUCGUACAGUCAGACGUGAAAUUCCCGGGCUCAACCUGGGGGCUGCGUUUGAUACGUGCGGGCUAGAGUCCUGGAGAGGAAGGUGGAAUGCUUGGUGUAGAGGUGAAAUUCGUAGAUAUCAAGCGGAACACCGGUGGCGAAGGCGGCCUUCUGGACGAGUGACUGACGCUGAGACGCGAAAGCGUGGGGAGCCAAACAGGG
rnacentral:rRNA from 1 species